GAUGAACGCUGGCGGCGUGCCUAAUACAUGCAAGUCGAGCGAACAGACGAGGAGCUUGCUCCUUUGACGUUAGCGGCGGACGGGUGAGUAACACGUAGGUAACCUACCUAUAAGACUGGGAUAACUUCGGGAAACCGGAGCUAAUACCGGAUAAUAUUUUGAACCGCAUGGUUCGAUAGUGAAAGAUGGCUUUGCUAUCACUUAUAGAUGGACCUGCGCCGUAUUAGCUAGUUGGUAAGGUAACGGCUUACCAAGGCAACGAUACGUAGCCGACCUGAGAGGGUGAGCGGCCACACUGGAACUGAGACACGGUCCAGACUCCUACGGGAGGCAGCAGUAGGGAAUCUUCCGCAAUGGGCGAAAGCCUGACGGAGCAACGCCGCGUGAGUGAUGAAGGUCUUCGGAUCGUAAAACUCUGUUAUUAGGGAAGAACAAACGUGUAAGUAACUGUGAACGUCUUGACGGUACCUAAUCAGAAAGCCACGGCUAACUACGUG
rnacentral:rRNA from 1 species